CCCGGAUCAAGAGCGCAGCCUUGUCUCCAACGCUGUUCCUGGCCCAUCUCCCUUUGCUCCUGGUGGUACGCUGUGGCUGGACCCUGUACCUAGUCCACUGCUUGCUGUGGCUGGGGCUGUUAAUGGACCCUGUUGCCAGCCCUUGGCUCUGCGUGCUGCGUUCAGCCUCUGUAGGAACAUGCCUCUACUUCUAAACUUCCUUGGACUCUGAAAGAAAACACUGCUCGGUCUGUCUAACCCAGGAACAAAUGCUGCUAGAAAGCUGGACACACAAUGGCACUUAGAGAAGCUCUGACUACAGGAUCAAGUAAGCUGUUGGCACAUUCUGCCCCUCCCCGUCUGGCAUUGACUACAGAUGAGAUGGUACGCACACUCAGCAGGGGAAUGGCAAGGUCUUCACAAUCAACUUCCCUUAAGUGCUGUGUGUGUCCCGGAGGGAUCCCGUUGAGUGAUGUAACGGUUGCAGUCUGCUGAGGUCUUUGGUUCAUGAAUACAGAGCUCAUUAGGGGAAAAAAAAUAACAACAAUGAAAAAAAACCCUCCAGAACAUAAGCAGAGGAUUCAUAUUCUUCUCUAGGUAAUGCUAUCAUUAAUUUUGACAAUAAGUUGGAGCUUUCUUUUUGUGUUGUUUUUACAUAGAUGACACUUUCUCUGUGGCCACAGAUCCUCCAAGUCAUGGGGUCAUAUGGAGCAACAGGCUGCAGGGGAUUGCUGGCCUCAUGAAAUUAUCAGCCUUUAUAUGAGAACUAGAAGGAGCUGACUUGAAGGGAGGGUAAUCAUUAUUUCAAGUUUUUGCUGGCCCUCAUGAAACAAUACCAACACAUGCAAGCUGAAUUCCAGUCCGCGUUCUCCUUAUUUGAUCUAAAGAUAGUUUACAUCACUGGCAGUCUUCCUUAUUGGACUGUUAAGAUGUAUUUUCCCUGAUUCACAGUCUGUAGUCAUCUGAGAGAGCUGAUUAAUACUAGAUAGUUGAUUAAUACUAGACACAUGACUGGUCUCUGAAAGCACAACUGGAUCAGAAGAGAGAGAUGCACAGUCCUCUCCUGAACUCAGAUAAGCAAUGCCCACAGUAGCCUAUAUAUAGAUAUUUGUGCUCUGAAUACUUUAGGAUUUGAGUGAUUAUUUCUCUACAUGAAUUACAGAAGUCACCUAGAAGUUAGGCUUAGACAAGUAACUUCUAAUUAAGUUGAGUGACGAACCCCAUACUAAGAAUAUCAAUGAAAGAGCAGAGAUGCAUAACAACCCAAACAUGGUAAUUUUCCCAUAUUCCUCUGGAGGGGCUUUCCCGCAUCACUCCCCUCACCCCCCAAACCAGAGCAUCCAUUACAUCCCUGUCAUGUGUCACAGUUUAGCCCCUGCCCAGGGUUUCAGAAGGUCGAAAUACAUCCGUCACUGGCUACUGGAAACCUCUGUGGAGCUUUCCCAUCUCUUCACAGACUGUUGAAAUGGGAGAAAUAAAAAUCAGUUCUGCUGUGGUGUUCUGCUUUCCUCCCA